AUCACUUCUUGGCCUUUUGGCUAAGAUCAAGUGUAGUAUCUGUUCUUAUCAGUUUAAUUUCAAUGGUCUGAUUUACUAGUUUUUUUCUUUUAGCAGUU
rnacentral:snRNA from 1 species